UACAGAGGUCCAAAGCGUUGUUCGGAUUCACUGGGCGUAAAGGGUGCGUAGGCGGUCGGGUAAGUCUGACGUGAAAUCUCCAAGCUCAACUUGGAAAUGGCGUCGGAUACUAUUCGGCUCGAGGAGUGGAGGGGAGACUGGAAUUCUCGGUGUAGCAGUGAAAUGCGUAGAUAUCGAGAGGAACACCUGCGGCGAAGGCGGGUUGCUGGGCCGACACUGACGCUGAUGCGCGAAAGCCAGGGGAGCGAACGGG
rnacentral:rRNA from 1 species